ACAAAAACAAGUGGAACAGUGACAAUUCCGGAUUUCUAUAUUUGGUAGUAAAAAUUAAAAGGAAUAAAGAGUAAAAAUUCGAUGAACGAGGUAAAAAUAUUAUAAAGACCUUUGUAUUAGGAGUUAUAUUGUAUUUUAUCUUUUUUAUUGAAAAAAUAAAUAAAUUAGUCCCUAUAUAUUAGAUUAAAGAGCAAACUAAUACUGUUAAAAAUUGAUCUAUGUAAGAAUGAAAUACAUGUGAUAUAUCACGUGUAUUUGGUUAUUCUAUAAGCUAUGUUAAUUUUUAACCGUAGAAUGAUCUAUGUCGGGUUUGCUCUUUGAUCUAACAUAUAUAGAUUAAUUUACCUAUUUUAUGAGUAAAGGAGAUAAAAUAUAAUCUAACUCUUAGUACAAAAAUUUUCAUGGUACUUGUACCGAAAUAAAAAAAUUAUCCCUCAAAAAAAGGCACUUGAUAGAAGGGUUUUACCGUAUAUGCUCCUGGUCCAAUAAAUGUUAGUCUCGAGUCCAACGUAACUCGGGAUAUACCUGGAGUUUACACCCAAAAAAAGGGAAAGAUUAGCAAUAUUUUUUAACCAUAAUCCAUGCAGAAUCUCCAAAGGUUUGCCUAAACUGACAAUGACUUUCGAUGGCUAAGUUAAAAAAAAUACAAAAAGUACAACGAAUCACCUUUAUGAUGCCAAAGAAAUACUGCCGGCUUGAGUAUUUUCACUCCAAUAAUGUAAAAUACAUCAUAAUCCUUCCAUUAAUCUUCCCAGGCUUGCAAUUGCAUACCACCAUGUGUGUCUUUGUUCUCCUAUAAAGCCUCUCGUCAACCAAUCUCAGACUCUUGACAGACCUAAAU
rnacentral:lncRNA from 1 species